rnacentral:rRNA from 1 species
AUUGAACGCUGGCGGCAGGCUUAACACAUGCAAGUCGAGCGGAGUGGCGAACGGGUGAGUAAUGUAUCGGAACGUGCCCAGUAGCGGGGGAUAACUACGCGAAAGCGUAGCUAAUACCGCAUACUAUUGGCGCGGCCGAUAUCGGAUUCGCUAGUUGGUGGGGUAACGGAUCACCAAGGCGACGAUCCGUAGCUGGUUUGAGAGGACGACCAGCCAAAAUGGGACUGAGACACGGCCCAGACUCCUCCGGGAGGCAGCAGUGGGGAAUUUUGGACAAUGGGGGAAACCCUGAUCCAGCAAACCGGCGUGUGCGAUGAAGGCCUUCGGGUUGUAAAGCACUGUUGGCAGGAAAGCGGUACCUACAGAAUAAGCAACGGCUAACUACGUGCCAGCAGCCGCGGUAAUAC